AUACGGAGGGUGCAAGCGUUAAUCGGAAUUACUGGGCGUAAAGGGCGCGUAGGCGGUCUAUCAAGUCAGGUGUGAAAUCCCACGGCUCAACCGUGGAGGUGCAUCUGAAACUGAUAGACUUGAGUAUGGGAGAGGAAAGUGGAAUUCCCGGUGUAGGGGUGAAAUUCGUAGAUAUCGGGAGGAACACCAGUGGCGAAGGCGACUUUCUGGACCAAUACUGACGCUGAGGCGCGAAAGCGUGGGGAGCAAACAGGAUUAGAUACCCUAGUAGUCCC
rnacentral:rRNA from 1 species